CGGCAAUACAGUUUGCACUAGCCCCUUACCAAAAGUUUGUGUUCCCACAAUUGUCGCACGACUAUAAUCUUGCAGUGAUCCGGCAACUAUUUCCGAGGCUGACGCCGAGCCGCCGUUGACUAAAACCACCAUUGGAGCACCUCUGAGAAUAUCACCUGGUUCUGCCAUUCUUUCGAAACGAGAGUCAGGUGUUCGGCCCACUGCAGAAACAAUUACACCAUGCUCAAGAAAAAGAUCUGAAACAUCAACCGCCGAAUCUAGCGUGCCACCUGGAUUAUUCCGA
rnacentral:ncRNA from 1 species